GAUGAAGAACGUAGCGAAAUGCGAUACGUAAUGUGAAUUGCAGAAUUCAGUGAAUCAUCGAGUCUUUGAACGCACAUUGCGCCCCCUGGUAUUCCGGGGGGCAUGCCUGUCCGAGCGUCAUUGCUGCCCUCAAGCACGGCUUGUGUGUUGGGCCUCCGUCCUCCUCCCGGGGGACGGGCCCGAAAGGCAGCGGCGGCACCGCGUCCGGUCCUCGAGCGUAUGGGGCUUCGCCACCCGCUCUUGUAGGCCCGGCCGGCGCUUGCCGACACAUCAAUCUUUUUUCCAGGUUGACCUCGGAUCAGGUAGGGAUACCCGCUGAACUUAAGCAUAUCAAUAAGCGGAGGA
rnacentral:misc_RNA from 1 species